rnacentral:tRNA from 1 species
GGGUAUAUAGCUCAGUGGUAGAGUGCAUGCCUAGCAUGCAUGAGGUCCUGGGUUCAAGCCCCAGUACCGCCA